rnacentral:rRNA from 1 species
AGAACGAACGCUGGCGGCAUGCCUAACACAUGCAAGUCGAACGAGACCUUCGGGUCUAGUGGCGCACGGGUGCGUAACGCGUGGGAAUCUGCCCUUAGGUACGGAAUAACAGUGAGAAAUUACUGCUAAUACCGUAUGAUGUCUUCGGACCAAAGAUUUAUCGCCUAGGGAUGAGCCCGCGUAGGAUUAGCUAGUUGGUGGGGUAAAGGCCUACCAAGGCGACGAUCCUUAGCUGGUCUGAGAGGAUGAUCAGCCACACUGGGACUGAGACACGGCCCAGACUCCUACGGGAGGCAGCAGUGGGAAUAUUGGACAUGGGCGAAAGCCUGAUCCAGCAAUGCCGCGUGAGUGAAGAAGGCCUUCGGGUUGUAAAGCUCUUUUACCCGGGAAGAUAAUGACUGUACCGGGAGAAGUAAGCCCGGCUAACUCCGCGCCAGCAGCCGC